rnacentral:rRNA from 2 species
AGUCGAGCGGACCGACGGGAGCUUGCUCCCUUAGGUCAGCGGCGGACGGGUGAGUAACACGUGGGUAACCUGCCUGUAAGACUGGGAUAACUCCGGGAAACCGGGGCUAAUACCGGAUGCUUGAUUGAACCGCAUGGUUCAAUCAUAAAAGGUGGCUUUUAGCUACCACUURCAGAUGGACCCGCGGCGCAUUAGCUAGUUGGUGAGGUAACGGCUCACCAAGGCGACGAUGCGUAGCCGACCUGAGAGGGUGAUCGGCCACACUGGGACUGAGACACGGCCCAGACUCCUACGGGAGGCAGCAGUAGGGAAUCUUCCGCAAUGGACGAAAGUCUGACGGAGCAACGCCGCGUGAGUGAUGAAGGUUUUCGGAUCGUAAAACUCUGUUGUUAGGGAAGAACAAGUACCGUUCGAAUAGGGCGGYACCUUGACGGUACCUAACCAGAAAGCCACGGCUAACUACGUGCCAGCAGCCGCGGUAAUACGUAGGUGGCAAGCGUUGUCCGGAAUUAUUGGGCGUAAAGCGCGCGCAGGCGGUUUCUUAAGUCUGAUGUGAAAGCCCCCGGCUCAACCGGGGAGGGUCAUUGGAAACUGGGGAACUUGAGUGCAGAAGAGGAGAGUGGAAUUCCACGUGUAGCGGUGAAAUGCGUAGAGAUGUGGAGGAACACCAGUGGCGAAGGCGACUCUCUGGUCUGUAACUGACGCUGAGGCGCGA